rnacentral:rRNA from 1 species
UGCCUAUUAGUGGGGGAUAACGUUCCGAAAGGAACGCUAAUACCGCAUACGUCCUACGGGAGAAAGAGGGGGAUCUUCGGACCUCUUGCUAAUAGAUGAGCCUAGGCCGGAUUAGCUAGUUGGUAGGGUAAAGGCCUACCAAGGCGACGAUCUGUAGCUGGUCUGAGAGGAUGACCAGCCACACUGGAACUGAGACACGGUCCAGACUCCUACGGGAGGCAGCAGUGGGGAAUAUUGGACAAUGGGGGCAACCCUGAUCCAGCCAUGCCGCGUGUGUGAAGAAGGCCUUCGGGUUGUAAAGCACUUUAAGUAGGGAGGAAAGGAUGAUUGUUAAUACCAAUCAUCAUUGACGUUACCUACAGAAUAAGCACCGGCUAACUCUGUGCCAGCAGCCGCGGUAAUACAGAGGGUGCAAGCGUUAAUCGGAAUUACUGGGCGUAAAGCGCGCGUAGGCGGUUUGUUAAGUCUGAUGUGAAAUCCCUGGGCUCAACCUAGGCACUGCAUCGGAUACUGGCUAACUAGAGUGUGGGAGAGGAAGGUAGAAUUCCAGGUGUAGCGGUGAAAUGCGUAGAGAUCUGGAGGAAUACCGAUGGCGAAGGCAGCCUUCUGGCCUGACACUGACGCUGAGGUGCGAAAGCAUGGGGAGCAAACAGGAUUAGAUACCCUGGUAGUCCAUGCUGUAAACGAUGUCAACUAGCCGUUGGGCUCCUUGAGGGCUUAGUGGCGUAGCUAACGCGAUAAGUUGACCGCCUGGGGAGUACGGUCGCAAGACUAAAACUCAAAUGAAUUGACGGGGGCCCGCAC